rnacentral:rRNA from 1 species
GACGAACGCUAGCUACAGGCUUAACACAUGCAAGUCGAGGGGAAACGAUAUUGGAAGCUUGCUUCCGAUAGGCGUCGACCGGCGCACGGGUGAGUAACGCGUAUCCAACCUGCCCACCACUUGGGAAUAACCUUGCGAAAGUAAGACUAAUGCCCAAUGAUAUCUCUAGAAGACAUCUGAAAGAGAUUAAAGAUUUAUCGGUGAUGGAUGGGGAUGCGUCUGAUUAGCUUGUUGGCGGGGUAACGGCCCACCAAGGCGACGAUCAGUAGGGGUUCUGUGAGGAAGGUCCCCCACAUUGGAACUGAGACACGGUCCAAACUCCUACGGGAGGCAGCAGUGAGGAAUAUUGGUCAAGGGGCGAGAGCCUGAACCAGCCAAGUAGCGUGCAGGAUGACGGCCCUAUGGGUUGUAAACUGCUUUUAUAGGGAAUAAAGUGAGCCUCGUGAGGCUUUUUGCAUGUACCUUAUGAAUAAGGACCGGCUAAUUCCGUGCCAGCAGCCGCGGUAA